GUACUGCUGAAGAGUCCUAAACUGGGACGAAACAGCUGUCUGGUAG
rfam:Trichobilharzia regenti genome assembly, scaffold: TRE_scaffold0013993